rnacentral:lncRNA from 1 species
AUGUUUACGGAGCCCUACUACCUUCCAGAAUAUGGGCCUGACUGACACAGGCGAGACCUGUACUGUCACGGAGCCUACAGUCUGGUCUGGGAGACACCAACACAGACUGGCCCUGAGCUAACAUCCGUGCCCAUCUUCCUCUACUUUAUAUGUGGGACACCUACCACAGCAUGGCGUGCCAAGUGGUGCCAUGUCCGCACCCGGGAUCCGAACCGGCGAACCCCAGGCAGCUGAGAAGCAGAAUGUACGCACUUAACCGCCGUGCCCCUGGGCUGGCCCCUGUAACGUUGCCUUCUUGAUUCAUUUAAAAGGAUUUUGGCCGUCAUUAGCUGCAUCAGCUUUUCUGUCCUCACUGUGUUCUGGGAGCCCAGCUCUCUGGAGGGUGAGGGGACCUGAGCCAUCCUCCACUUCUGGGCUGGGCCCUGCCCUGACCACCUCCCGCUGUGCUGCAGACCCACCUACUGGACGGAGGCACAGCGAAGCCUCUGCAGAGGGUGAAGAGAUGGUCUCUCCGGGUGUUUGAAGUAAGAGUGCUGGACCCUGUGAGCCGCUGUGCAAACAAAGGCCCGCGGAGAAGAGGGGAAGAGGCCGAUGAUUUGUUGGUCUGACUUCACCUAUUUGAAAAAUGCUUUCCGUGUUUCAAAUGGCACUCUCGAGCUUUUCCUGUCCUCUUUACAGCACCCAGGACACUCACAGAACUGCAAAUAUUCUCGCCUAUUCUUGCCCCAGAGAGCUGGGGAAGUGGUGUAUAGGUGGCCGCACAAACAGACGAAGAAAAUGAAUUGUUUGCAAAAAAUGUGUGGACAGGUAUGAAGAUAUUUAUGCAGAGAUUUAUAAGUUCUUAUAAAUGCCACUUUUAGAAUAUUUAUCUUAAUCCUGAGCUAUUUCCUUUUAUGGAAAAUAAUUCUUAAUAAGGAUUCCAUCUUCCUUAGCAAAACUUUUGAUUCAAGUAUUUCUUCAGAUCUUGCACAGGAAGAAGUUUCUUACUUAGGACGGCUGG